rnacentral:rRNA from 1 species
UACGGGGGGGGGCAAGCGUUGUUCGGAAUUACUGGGCGUAAAGGGUGCGUAGGCGGCUUUUUAAGUCGGAUGUGAAAACUCUGGGCUCAACCCAGAGACUGCAUCCGAAACUGGAGAGCUAGGGUUCUGGAGGGGAAAGCGGAAUUCCUGGUGUAGCAGUGAAAUGCGUAGAUAUCAGGAGGAACACCGGUGGCGAAGGCGGCUUUCUGGACAGAUACCGACGCUGAGGCACGAAAGCGUGGGGAGCAAACAGG